AGUAGGGUCAGCUAAACAAGCUAUCGGGCCCAUACCCGAAAAUGAUGGUUUAACCCCUUCCCCUACUA
rnacentral:tRNA from 1 species